rnacentral:tRNA from 1 species
GAGGGUAUAGCUCAAGUGGUAGAGUGCAUGCUUAGCACGCAUAACAUCCUGGGUUUAAUCCCCAGAACCUCCU